UCUCUGCACUGAGUCUUUGGUUGGCCAUGACUUGUUUGCACACUGUCUCUCUGAUCAAGUUGUGCGUGUCUUGAUGGCAGUGAUGCGGACUUACUCAUCUCUGUAACCACAAUGCCCAGUAAAUGGGGUAGUCACUCUGUGUUUUUUGAAUAAAUGACUAUCUUAUUUCUCUUCGAAUUACAGCGUCAGGACAGUGCACAGAGUAAGGUACAUAUUUUUUAAAGUUAACUGAGUCUCCUCAUUUUACAGAUGAGGAAACUGAGGCCCAGGGAGGUGGCCUGACUUGCUCAAGGUCAUGCAGCAAGUUAGUGGCAGAGAAUUAAACCAGGUAUCCCGACUCUGGUGAAGUGGUCAUUCUGCAUCAUCACAGCUGCUAGGUAGAAAUGGAAUGCCUGGGAGCUGGAGACCUCUGGAACACAGAGCAAAACCCAGCUGCAUUCUCAGUUCCAUGACUUCGCAGGUGGUACUGUGGGAGCCUCCGCUGGAAUGUCAGUUGCCUGAGCUCACCUGGUUCACAGCAGAACUGGACUCAAACUCAAAAGUUCUCCAUGAACUGGAACAAAAGGAAGAGAAAUUCUGUUUACUUAGCACCUAUAACACGAGGACAGCGGAACCUGCCAUCUCACGGGGUUGGCCUCAGGUGGAAGUGAUGGCUGAGAACAGCUCUGCAGAGCAAGGAUGGACCAGCUAC